CCUACGGGUGGCUGCAGUCGAGGAUCUUCGGCAAUGGGCGCAAGCCUGACCGAGCGACGCCGCGUGCGGGAUGAAGGCCUUCGGGUUGUAAACCGCUGUCAGGGGGGAUGAAAUCAUGGUGGGUACUCCCAUCAUGUUGACAGAGCCCCAGAGGAAGCGCGGGCUAAGUUCGUGCCAGCAGCCGCGGUAAUACGAACUGCGCGAACGUUAUUCGGAAUCACUGGGCUUACAGGGUGCGUAGGUGGCAUCGAAAGUAGGGUGUGAAAUGCCUUGGC
rnacentral:rRNA from 1 species